rnacentral:rRNA from 1 species
GAUGAACGCUGGCGGCGUGCCUAAUACAUGCAAGUCGAGCGAACGGACGAGAAGCUUGCUUCUCUGAUGUUAGCGGCGGACGGGUGAGUAACACGUGGAUAACCUACCUAUAAGACUGGGAUAACUUCGGGAAACCGGAGCUAAUACCGGAUAAUAUUUUGAACCGCAUGGUUCAAAAGUGAAAGACGGUCUUGCUGUCACUUAUAGAUGGAUCCGCGCUGCAUUAGCUAGUUGGUAAGGUAACGGCUUACCAAGGCAACGAUGCAUAGCCGACCUGAGAGGGUGAUGGGCCACCCUGGAACUGAGACACGGUCCAGACUCCUACGGGAGGCAGCAGUAGGGAAUCUUCCGCAAUGGGCGAAAGCCUGACGGAGCAACGCCGCGUGAGUGAUGAAGGUCUUCGGAUCGUAAAACUCUGUUAUUAGGGAAGAACAUAUGUGUAAGUAACUGUGCACAUCUUGACGGUACCUAAUCAGAAAGCCACGGCUAACUACGUG